UACGUAGGGUGCGAGCGUUGUCCGGAAUUAUUGGGCGUAAAGAGCUCGUAGGCGGUCUGUCGCGUCUGCUGAUGAAACUCAGGGCUUAACCCUGAGCUUGCAGUGGGUACGGGCAGACUAGAGUGCGGUAAGGGGAGACUGGAAUUCCUGGUGUAGCGGUGAAAUGCGCAGAUAUCAGGAGGAACACCGGUGGCGAAGGCGGGUCUCUGGGCCGAUACUGACGCUGAGGAGCGAAAGCGUGGGGAGCGAACAGG
rnacentral:rRNA from 1 species